UUCUUGUGAAUAAAACUUUACUUGUUGAUGAUUAGGUUCUCCGACACGACGGGAGACGAUUGACAUGUCAUAUAUCCCAUGUACUUUGUGU